rnacentral:piRNA from 1 species
UGAGAUUGGAUCCCAUCCUAUGUGACUGC